rnacentral:misc_RNA from 1 species
UAAUGAGUGUUUUAUGGCACUUUUUAAAUCCAUAUCCACCUUGUGUGCAAUGUCAGUCGAUCUUCUUCAUGGAGAUCGACCAAACAUCAACCUUUAUCUUUUAACUCUUUGUCUGAAAAAUAUUAUGAAUAAACAAUUCAAAAUA